AUUGAACGCUAGCGGGAUGCCUUACACAUGCAAGUCGAACGGAGUGGCGAACGGGUGAGUAAUGUAUCGGAACGUGCCCAGUAGCGGGGGAUAACUACGCGAAAGCGUAGCUAAUACCGCAUACUAUUGGAGCGGCCGAUAUCGGAUUAGACAGUUGGUGGGGUAACGGCGCACCAAGGCGACGAUCCGUAGCUGGUUUGAGAGGACUACCAGCCACACUGCGACUGAGACACGGCCCAGACUCCUACGUGAGGCAGCAGUGGGGAAUGUUGGACAAUGUGGGAAACCCUGAGCCAGCCGACCCGCGUGUGCGAUGAAUGCCUUCGGGUUGUAAAGCACUUUUGGCAGGAAAGCGGUACCUGCAGAAUAAGCACCGGCUAACUACGUGCCAGCCGCCGCGGUAAUUC
rnacentral:rRNA from 1 species